UGAAGAAACGGUUGCCUUUUUCCCCCCUUUCUCCUCCUUUUCUUUUCUCCCCUUCUUUUCAUGGUGGUGGCAGGCGCACUUUGGCCAUCCCAGGUACUGGCUGGAAACAGUGAGGAUUCUGGGAGAUGGUGAGAUGAGGCUUUAAUGAGAAUGAGGCCUUCCCAGCUGGAGAGAAAAAUAUAUGCAAAUGAGAUGUGUGAGCCAAGAGGACACUGGGAUGAAGAACGUGUGGCAAGCAGCACGGGGUGAACUCCAGCUGACUACGGUCGCCUCCAAGGAGAGGAAGACGAUCUGACGAAUGGGAAUGACAGGGAGGGGAGGGGACACACACGGCCCCGCCUGCCGUCUGUCCUAGCAGUCCUGAUGACUUCUCCCUUGAUAAUCAGCUGCUAUGGGCCAGGGAUAAUUCACCUGUCAAUGCCACCUACUGAGGCUGGAACAAGGAUUGAACAUGGAUACACCAUUCCACCAACGCCAAAACGGUGUCAUUCAUUUAGACAAAGACCAUGGGACAAAAUGGGAAUGUGAGAGGAAAGAGAUUGGGCGACAGAUAGAGAGCAAGAGUGAGACAGACAGAGAGAGAGAGAGUGAGACAGACAGAGAGAGAGAGACAGAGAGAGAGAGAGAGAGAGAGAGAGUGAGACAGACAGAGAGAGAGACAGACAGAGAGAGAGAGUGAGACAGACAGAGAGAGAGAGACAAAGAGAGAGAGAGACAGAGAGAGAGACAGAGAGAGAGAUAGAGAGAGAGAGAUAAAGAGAGAGAGAGAGAGAGAGAGAGAGAGAGACAGAGAGAUAAAGAGAGAGAGAGAGAGAGACAGAGAGACAGAGAGACAGAGAUGAAUUUCCUACAGGUCCAUUUUGUUUAAAAGUCAAAGAAUGGAACUAAAAAACGAGAAGAACUUCACAAAUACCACAGUGGCAACAUGUGUGUUGGAAAGUGUUUAAAUGGAAAUAAACAUGUUCUCAUUCUGAGUAAUGUACAGCAACGAUUUUAGUUUAUUUUAUGAAUUUGAGACUCAAUAAAUUCCAGUUUAAAUAAUGAA